CAGAGGGUGCGAGCGUUAAUCGGAUUUACGUGGGGCGUAAAGCGUGCGUAGGCGGCCAAUUAAGUCAAAAUGUGAAAAUCCCCGAGCUUAACUUGGGAAUUGCAUUCGAUACUGGUUGGCUAGAGUAUGGGAGAGGAUGGUAGAAUUCCAGGUGUAGCGGUGAAAUGCGUAGAGAUCUGGAGGAAUACCGAUGGCGAAGGCAGCCAUCUGGCCUAAUACUGACGCUGAGGUACGAAAGCAUGGGGGAGCAAACAGGAUU
rnacentral:rRNA from 1 species